rnacentral:sRNA from 1 species
AUAACAAAAAUCUGUUGUAAAACACCAGAUUUGUUAACAAGUUAAUUAAAUCUGUGAUUACACAAAACAACUCUGUCAUGCCUAUAUAACAUUUUUCGAGGUUAACAAAUAUGUUGUAACACAACAGAUUUUUGGGUGCAAAUAGAAAAUCUGUUGCCACCAUAAAGAAAAAUCUGUGGUCCGGAAAACAAAUCAGUGACAUAUUUGGUUUCAACAUUCUUACUUUUGAAAUUUAAAUAAAAUCUGUGGAGACUAUAUGAAACAAAUCAGUCACGGUUAAAAAAUCUGCGGAAAAAAAAAAUCUGGCGUAACAUAACACAGUAAAGUCUGUGGUACAAGACAAGUCUGUUGUAAAAAAUCUGUGGUUGACCAACAAAUCUGUGAUCGAUAACAAAUCCGUCGCAACAAGAGCCACAGAUUUACCAAAAACGACGAUGGCAUUUUCGUAAAUAAAUGUGGUUUUAUUGCCUUGCUGGAAUUAAAUAGUAAUGGCAUUUCUGUAAUAUUGUUUUUCUCUGCAAAAGAAAACAAGGAUAAUUUAGGUAUAAUUAUUACUCAAAUAACUCAUAUUUUUAGCAUUCCUUUUAGGUAAUUAUGUAUAAAAUAUGGGUUACUCUAGUAAAUUUCCCUUU